UGUAAGUCUUGGUGUGAUGGGUUGAAACCUUUAAGAGAAGCUAUGUUGUUUCUUAAAAAUGGGAAGCGGUUUAAGCAUGGGCGUGGAGGGGUGAAACCUGAUUUGAAUAAGGCUCUUGAAUCGUUCCUUAAAGGUGCGGCUCUUGGGUCUACGUUGGCUAUGGUGGAUGCUGGAUUGGUUUAUUGGGAAAUGGGGAGGAAGG
rnacentral:misc_RNA from 1 species